GACGAACGCUGGCGGCGUGCUUAACACAUGCAAGUCGAACGGCAGCACGGACUUCGGUCUGGUGGCGAGUGGCGAACGGGUGAGUAAUACAUCGGAACGUGCCCAGUCGUGGGGGAUAACGUAGCGAAAGCUACGCUAACGCCGCAUACGAUCUAAGGAUGAAAGCGGGGGAUCGCAAGACCUCGCGCGAUUGGAGCGGCCGAUGGCAGAUUAGGUAGUUGGUGGGGUAAAGGCUCACCAAGCCGACGAUCUGUAGCGGGUCUGAGAGGAUGAUCAGCCACACUGGGACUGAGACACGGCCCAGACUCCUACGGGAGGCAGCAGUGGGGAAGUUUGGACAAUGGGCGCAAGCCUGAUCCAGCCAUUCCGCGUGCAGGAUGAAGGCCUUCGGGUUGUAAACUGCUUUUGUACAGAACGAAAAGCUCUGGGUUAAUACCCUGGGGUCAUGACGGUACUGUAAGAAUAAGCACCGGCUAACUACGUGCCAGCAGCCGCAGUAA
rnacentral:rRNA from 1 species